AGCUCAAACAUCCAUUACCAUGGUGAUCCAGGCUCCAGGGAGAUGUUGUCUAUAGGAACCUGGUGGGAGUCAGAUAGCCUAUUGCUUAAACAGCACAGUUAACCAUGGGUGAGUUAAACAACUAAAA